rnacentral:rRNA from 1 species
UUAUUGGAGAGUUUGAUCCUGGCUCAGGACGAACGCUGGCGGCGUGCCUAAUACAUGCAAGUCGAGCGAGUCCCUUCGGGGGCUAGCGGCGGACGGGUGAGUAACACGUAGGCAACCUGCCCGUAAGCUCGGGAUAACAUGGGGAAACUCAUGCUAAU